GUUUGUUUUGUGAAACGUAUCUAUGAAUUUCUCAAAGCUUUUCAGCAGAGAGAAAAUAUAUAUAUAAUUCUUUUUAUGAGUGCUUUAGUGACAUUUUUCUUAUUAAUUUUCCAUUUGCUCCCUCAACGACAUGGAAGAUAGUAAACAUACGGAGUUCGAUAAGUUUUUAAUGUGUUAAGACGUGAAUCGAACCAACAAUUUAUUGUUUUAUAAACAUAAAGAGUGAAAUUCAAAACAUAGUUUCAUCCCAAAAUAGGAGGGAAACAGUACGGAAUUCUUAUAGAAGUGAAAGAUAUUACAAUUUCAACCUUGUUUGAUUCGCUGAUAAUAGAGGUCCUUGCGAAAAUUAUAUGGAAAAAACAACGAAGACCAUUUGUAUGGUAAAAACUAAAUAUACAUACGUGUAGAGUAAAAAAUGCAAUAAGAAAAGGAACACAACACACAGCAGAACCAUUGCAAUGUUCAGUAAAAAGCAUAAGACCAUAGGAAAAACAAAUCUGCAAAAGAAAAGAAAUCGAAAUGAUUACAUGAUGGUGAUGACGACGACGCCAACGAUUAUGACGAUAUGUGAAGAUCCAGGGCAGGCAGCCUGCUAGCA